rnacentral:tRNA from 1 species
GCGGAAGUGGCGGAACUGGUAGACGCGCAGGAUUUAGGUUCCUGUGCCUUCGGGCGUGGGGGUUCGAGUCCCCCCUUCCGCACCC